GUGGCAGCCGCCGCGGUAAAACCAGCACCUCAAGUGGUCAGGAGGAUUAUUGGGCCUAAAGCAUCCGUAGCCUGCUCUGUAAGUUUCCGGUUAAAUCCAUUAGCUCAACUAAUGGCCUGCCGGAAAUACUGCAGAGCUAGGAAGUGGGAGAGGUAGACGGUACUCGGUAGGAAGGGGUAAAAUCCUUUGAUCUAUUGAUGACCACCUGUGGCGAAGGCGGUCUACCAGAACACGUUCGACGGUGAGGGAUGAAAGCUGGGGGAGCAAACCGGAUUAGAUACCCGGGUAGUCCCAGCUGUAAACGAUGCAGACUCGGUGAUGCCCUGGCUUGUGGCCAGUGCAGUGCCGCAGGGAAGCCGUUAAGUUUGCCGCCUGGGAAGUACGUACGCAAGUAUGAAACUUAAAGGAAUUGGCGGGGGAGCACCACAAGGGGUGAAGCCUGCGGUUCAAUUGGAGUCAACGCCAGAAAUCUUACCCGGAGAGACAGCAGAAUGAAGGUCAAGCUGAAGACUUUACCAGACAAGCUGAGAGGUGGUGCAUGGCCGUCGCCAGCUCGUGCCGUGAGAUGUCCUGUUAAGUCAGGUAACGAGCGAGAUCCCUGCCUCUAGUUGCCACCAUUACUCUCAGGAGUAGUGGGGCGAAUUAGCGGGACCGCCACAGUUAAUGUGGAGGAAGGAAGGGGCCACGGCAGGUCAGUAUGCCCCGAAACUCUGGGGCCACACGCGGGCUGCAAUGGUAGUGACAAUGAGUUCCGAAACCGAAAGGUGGAGGUAAUCUUCAAACGCUACCACAGUUAUGAUUGAGGGCUGCAACUCGCCCUCAUGAAUAUGGAAUCCCUAGUAACUGCGUGUCAUUAUCGCGCGGUGAAUACGUCCCUGCUCCUUGUACACACCGCCCGUC
rnacentral:rRNA from 1 species